rnacentral:rRNA from 1 species
GACGAACGCUGGCGGCGUGCUUAACACAUGCAAGUCGAGCGGUAAGGCCUUUCGGGGUACACGAGCGGCGAACGGGUGAGUAACACGUGGGUGAUCUGCCCUGCACUUCGGGAUAAGCCUGGGAAACUGGGUCUAAUACCGGAUAUGACCUCCUAUCGCAUGGUGGGUGGUGGAAAGAUUUAUCGGUGCAGGAUGGGCCCGCGGCCUAUCAGCUUGUUGGUGGGGUAAUGGCCUACCAAGGCGACGACGGGUAGCCGACCUGAGAGGGUGACCGGCCACACUGGGACUGAGACACGGCCCAGACUCCUACGGGAGGCAGCAGUGGGGAAGUAUUGCACAAUGGGCGAAAGCCUGAUGCAGCGACGCUGCGUGAGGGACGACGGCCUCGGUUGUAA